rnacentral:rRNA from 1 species
AUUGAACGCUGGCGGCAGGCCUAACACAUGCAAGUCGAGCGGAGCGGCGGACGGGUGAGUAUUGCCUAGGAAUCUGCCUGGUAGUGGUGGAUAACGUCCGUAAACGGGCGCUAAUACCGCAUACUAUCAGAUGAGCCUAGGUCGGAUUAGCUAGUUGGUGGGGUAAAGGCCUACCAAGGCGACGAUCCGUAACUGGUCUGAGAGGAUGAUCAGUAACACGGGAACUGAGACACGGACCAGACUCCUACGGGAGGCAGCAGUGGGGAAAAUUGGACAAGGAGCGAGAGCCUAAACCAGCCAUGCGGCGUGUGUGAAGAAGGUCUUCGGAUUGUAAAGCACUUUAAGUUGGGAGGCGUUACCAAAAGAAUAAGCACCGGCUAACUUCGUGCCAGCAGCCGCGGUAAUAC